CCUACGGGAGACAGCAGUGGGGAAUAUUGGGCAAUGGGCGCAAGCCUGAUCCAGCCACGCCGCGUGUAGGAAGAAGGCUUUCGGGUUGUAAACUUCUUUUAUCAGGGACGAAGCAAGUAACGGUACCUGAUGUAUAAGCCACGGCUAACUACGUGCCAGCAGCCGCGGUAAUACGUAGGGGGCAAGCGUUAUCCGGAUUUACUGGGUGUAAAGGGCGUGUAGGCGGGACAGCAAGUCAGAUGUGAAAGCCAUGGGCUCAACCUGUGGACUGCAUUUGAAACUGGUUUUCUUGAGUACUGGAGAGGCAGACGGAAUUCCUAGUGUAGCGGUGAAAUGCGUAGAGAUGAGGAGGAACACCAGUGGCGAAGGCGGUCUCCUGGACAGCAACUGACGCUGAGGCGCGAAAGCGUGGGGAGCAAACAGGAUUAGAUACCCGUGUAGUC
rnacentral:rRNA from 1 species